GCACAGCUCCAGAGAGCUUCGAGGGCCAAGUCUGCAGUUUGGUUGCUUCCUCCUGAAAUCAACGUGGGAGUCUUAAAAGCACGGGGAGAAUAGUCUACUCAGCAGGGAGCAUUUCGGGAUGAUGCAGCCAUUCAUAGGAAGCAUGGAGAGGCUUGAACUGGACCAUGUGGUGCUGGAGAGGCCAUUGCACUGACUGGCAAGAGAAGACCUGCUUCACCGUGGUCCACACAGUAAUUUCCCUGGCUUCACUCAAGGCUAACUGUCCUCCAGCAAAACACCCCUCUUUUCCUCUCACAGAUGAAGCAGAUGAGUAAAACUGAGGCUCCGUAAGGUACUCAUCCGAAAUCAGGCAGAAGAGUUCUGGUGGCUGGAAGUCUGAAAUCAAGUUGUUGGCAGUGCCAGCUCCUUCUGAAGCCUCUAGGGCUUCUCUGAAAGAGGUCAAGAAAGCCCCUGCCUCUCGCCUCUGCAGAUAGCCAUCCAGUCCCAGAGGAAGCGGCUAUUUAUGCAGCAAUUAUCAUUCAAGCAAAGCCAUCUUUAUUGCAAAGAAUGGAGACCUCUGUAAUAUAGCACAGGAAUAAUGAAUGCAUCUGGUCUGUGUGGCAGAGGGGCUGUGACUGAAAGCACACCAUCAGGCAAUGCUGUAGAAGCGGGAAUCUGAUACAACCUGGUUUAAUGAGAACUGGAGAUCAUGAUCUCCUGGACAGCCAGAACUAUGUUUUAUUUAUCUGUUUGUGGCCAGUUUCCAGCCCUGGGCCUGGCCUUGAGCAAGCCCUUGAGUUGAAAUGAUUUAAAUCAGAGAUGGCACAGAUAAUAAAAACAGGAAUGGAUAUGGAGAUAGAGGAUGAGAAUUUGGGUAUUAACUUGGUUAUUUACUAAUUGGAGGGAUUGAGGUAAGUUGCUUCAUUCUGAGUCUCACUUCUCAAAUUUGUACAGUGAUGAAGUUUGGGAUUGGAGUAUAUGUGGAGAGGAACCUCCAAAACCUUUACCGUGCUUCAACAUUCUAACUUAAGCUUAAACGAAAAAUUGAAUUUUUACCUGGAAAGAAAAAAAAUACUGUUCAGAAUCCUGUGUUAAUAGUUGUUGGUAUUAAUAAACAAGUAAAUAAAGUAAAUACAUGCAUUAGGUUUUAUUUACCCUCCUACAGUGGAAGAUAAUCAUUUGUUAGUUCAAGCCCUGAGGCAUUACCUUCGUGACAGCUGGUGAGGUACGUGUGUAAAAUUGAAACAUUUUUAUGAAAAAUCCUAACAAAGCAUUGCUGUGUGUGCCUAUUAUUUUAAUGUGAACUAACAGCCUUAUUCGAGCAAUUUGUCACAUUUGAAAAUAUAAACUGGACCCCUUAUUCAUGCAUUUUCUGAAGAUGCUGCUUUGGUGCUGACAUUUGUUGGUGCCCUUGGUCAUAGGAGUGUGUGUGGACCCAUUCAUAUUCUCUUCUGAUUUAGAUCAGUGGGCAAGAAGGUCUUACACACAGUUACAGAUCUUUCAUAUGCCCUUUGUGUUCUCAAUUAUGUAGGGGAUUUUGACUGGCUAGCUGCAAUCAGUCUGUGAGAAAGAUGAAAGAAAAUGACCAUGACCAUCACACACUGGAGUAAUUGGGUGUCUUCCCUGCCUCCUGGUGAUGACCAAGGACGGUUCCCAUCAAAAACACCUAAAUUCAAAGAAGUCAGCAGUCUGCUGAAUGGAGUCCCGGGAUCAGGUUACAUCAAACUCCAGCUUCCAACGUACAUUUCAAAUAUGAAACAUAAACACCGAUUGCAAAUCUGAAGACAUUUUCAUUUAGCCCUAGGCCAGGAUUUUUAAUUUAAAAAAAAUAAACCUGUCAAGGUCUGCAGGAAAGGCUCUUAGAUAUUCUGGCCAAUGGUUUAUUUAAAAAUCCAAUAAUGCAAUUUCCUUAGCAGCAGGAGGCAAGAGACCUUCUCUAAGCUGAAUGUCCCAUAACUGGAUGGUAGCCAGAUUCCCAGUACGUGAAACAGAAGUCCAUGAAACAGAAACACAUUCCCAGUACAUUAAACCCCUUUAUAAAAGGGGUGCUACCUUGAAGGCCCAGGACAGGAUAUUCUGAAUGCCAUUUCUCCCCAGAAUAACUAUGUAUAUUGGGAGCAAGAAGACCUGGUAAUCGAAUCUCACUUACUAUCCAUGUGAACUUGACCAUUCACAUGGAUUAUUUAUGUAUUUAUUUUACUAUUAAUUUAUUUUUGAUUUUUUUACUUUAAGUCUGGGGAUACAUGUGCAGAAUGUGCUGGUUUGUUACCUAGGUAUACAUGGGUCAUGGUGGUUUGCUGCAUCUAUCAACCCGUCACCUAGGUUUUAAGCCCCACUUGCAUUAGCUGUUUGCCCUGAUGCUCCCUCUCUCCUCACCACCCCCCAACAGUUUCUGGAAUGUGUUGUUGCCCUCCCUGUGUCCAUGUGUUCUCAUUCUUCAACCCCCACUUAUGAGUAAGAACAUGCAGUGUUUGGUUUUCUGUUUUUCUGAUUGUUUGCUGAGGAUGAUGGCUUCCAGCUUCAUCCAUGUCCCUGCAAAGGACAUGAUCUCAUCCCUUUUUCUGGCUGCAUAGAAUUCCAUGGUGUAUGUGUACCAUAUUUUCUUAUCCAGUCUAUCAUUGAUGGCAUUUGGAUUGGUUCCAUGUCUUUGCUAUUGUGAAUAAUGCUGCAAUAAACAUAUGUGUGCAUGUAUCUUUAUAAUAGAAUGAUUUAUAUUCCUUGGGGUGUAUACCCAGUAAUGAAAUCACUAGGUCAAAUGGUAUUUCUGGUUCUAGAUCCUUGAGGAAUCACCACAUUGUCUUCCACAAUGGUUGAACUAAUUUACAUUCUCACCAACAAUGUAAAAGUGUUCCUAUUUCUCCACAGCCUCUCCAGAAUCUGUUGUUUCUUGACUUUUUAAUAAUCACCAUUCUGACUGACAUGAGCUGGUAUCUCAUUGUGGUUUUGAUUUACAUUUCUCUAAUAAUCAGUGAUGUUGAGCUUUUUAAAAUAUGUUUGUUGGCUGUGUAAAUGUUUUCUUUUGAGAAGUGUCUGUUCAUAUCCUUUGCCCACUUUUUGAUGAGGUUGUUUGUUUUUUUUCUUGUAAAUUCGUUCCUUGUAAAUUCUGGAUAUAACACCUUUGUCCAAAGGGUAGAUUGCAAAAAUUUCCUCCCAUUUUGUAGGUUGCCUAUUCGCUCUGCGAUAGUUUCUUUUGCUGUGCAGAAGCUCUUUAGUUUAAUUAGAUCCCAUUUGUCAAUUUUAGCUUUUGUUGCAAUUGCUUUUGGUGAUUUCGUCAUAAAAUCUUUGCCCAUGCCUAUAUCCUAAAUGGUAUUACCUAGGUUUUCUUCUAGGGUUUUUAUGGUUUUGAGAUUUACAUUUAAGUCUUUACUCCAUCUUGAGUUAAUUUUUGUAUAAGGUGUAAGGAAGGGGUCCAGUUUUAGUUUUCUGCAUAUGGCUAGCCAGUUUUCCCAGCACCACUUAUUAAAUAGGGAAUCUUCUCCCCAUUGCCUGUUUUUGUCAGGUUUGUUGAAGAUCAAAUGGUUGUAGAUGUGUGGUCUUAUUUCUGAGGUCUCUAUUCUGUUCCAUUGGUCUAUAUGUCUGUUUGAUACCAGUGCCAUGCUGUUUUGGUUAUUAUAGCCUUGUAGUAUAGUUUGAAGUCUGGUAGCAUGAUGCCUUCAGCAUCGUUCUUUUUGUUUAGGAUUGUCUUGGCUAUGUGGGCUCUUUUUUGGUUCCAUAUGAAUUUUAAAGUGUUUUUUUUUUCUAAUUCUGUGAAGGGUGUCAAUGGUAGUUUGAUGGGAAUAGCAUUGAAUUUAUAAAUUACAUUGAGCAGUAUCACCAUUUCACAAUAUUGAUUGUUUCUAUCCAUGAGGGUGGAAUGUUUUUCCAUUUGUUUGUGUCCUCUUUUAUUUCCUUGAGCAGUGGGUUGUAGUUUUCCUUGAAGAGGUUCUUCACAUCUCUUGUUAGCCAUAUUCCUAGGUAUUUUAUUCUCUUUGUAGCAAUUGUGAAUGGGAGUUCAUUCAUUCACAUGGAUUAUUUAAAUAAAAAACUUAAAUUUUAAACCCCAAAUUUAAAAUGUGUCAUAUAACUGCUAGCAAUCUCCCAACUUUGGUUGCUUAUAGACCAAGAGUAGAGAAAGAGUCUAUGUAUUGUCUAGCCCUGCCCUGUUGGUCAGAACUGGCCCAGAGAAGCACCACUGACUAUUUGGAGCAAUCAAACUUCCUCUCUCUAGAAUUUAAAAUCACUAACCAGAAAAAGGGACUCAGCCAUGGGCACUGAAGCUAUAAGAGCCAAUGAUCUCAAGGGUCAAAACACAUUUUGGAGUAGCUAUGACGGACUAUGGUUAAUCUAAAGAAACUGGUUCUUAGACAAGAGACUAGCACAUAUGGAUAUGCAGAAGCAGGAAUGGGAGGCUAUGUAAGCCCAAAGAGCAAGAGAGAGGAUGCAGACAUCUGAUAAUAUUCUAGUUCCUAUGUGGUCUGGAAGUUGAGUUCAUGAGAGUUUCUGCCUUCCAUUGUCUUGAAUUUCUCUGAGUAAAAUUUUAUUCCUGGAAAGCAACUACAAGAGAAUGUCAUAACUUUUUAUCUGAGCAAACUUUAGGUAUCUCUUGUCUUACCAAAUAAUUGAAUUCACAAAUACUUAUUGAACAUGCUUUAUGAAACAGGAUCUAUGAUGAAAGCUGAUGAAAAAGCAAUGAACAAGAUGGGUACAUUUUCUGAUUUCAUAGAUCUCGUAUUUUAAUGGGAGGAUAAAAAGACCAAAAUAAGAUAGGAAAACAAAACCCAUAUGUACAUAAGUAAGUACAGGUUGACACAUUAACAAAUAAAAAAUUAAAAACAAAUGAAAAGACAAAACAUGUUUUCAGUUCAAAGACUUAGUAGUGUUAAGACUGAUCUAUAGAUCAAGAUUUAAGGCAAUCCUUAUCAAAAUUUCACUGGACUUUUUUACAGAAAUUGACAAGCUGAUCUUAAAAUACAUACUGAAAUGCAAGUGACUCAGCAUAGCAAAACAAUCUUGAAAGACAAAAAAAAAAAUCUAGAGAACUCAAUGUUCUAAAUUUUAAAACUGAACACAAACUGACAGUAAUCAGGCAUAAGGAUACAAAUAUAGAUAAAUGGAUAGAGAGCCCAGAAAUAAACCAUCAUAUUUUUGGAUAGUUGAUGUUUGACAAAGGUGCCAGGACAAUUCAGUAGGGGAAAGCAAUAGUUCUUUCAACAAAUGGUGCUAAGAUGACUGAAUAUCUACAUUGAAAGGAAUGAAGCUGGGCCUCUUCCUCUCGCCAUACACAUAAAUUAACCAAAAUAGAUCAUAGCCAUAAUAUAAGAACUAAAACCACAAAACUCUUAGAAAAAACAUAGGAAUAAAUCUUUGUGACCUUAGAUUAGUCAAUAAUUUCUUAAACACAACAUUAAAGGCACAAGUGACAAAAUAAAUUGUAUUUCAUCAAAACUAAAACCCUUUACGCUUCCAAGGACACCAUGAAGAAUGUGAAGAGACAAUUUGCAGAAUGGAGAAAAUAUUUGCACAUCAUACAUUUGAUAAGGGAUUUGUAUCUGGAAUACAUAAGGAACGCUUACAAUUCAAUUAUUAAAAGACAAUCCAAUUUAAAAGUGGGUGAAAGAUACAAAUUUACAUUUCUCCAAUGAAGAUAUACAAAUGGCCAAUAAGCACAAGAAAAGAUGCUCAACAUAAUUAACCAUUAAAUAAAUGCAAAUUAAAACCAAAAUGAGAUAUCACUUCACACACUCUAGGAUGUUUAUAGUUAAAAAAGAUAGUAAAUGCUGGCAAAUAUGUGGAGAAAUUGAAAUCCUCACACACUGCUGUUGGAAAUGUACAAUGGUACAGUCACUUUGGAAAAUAGUCUAACCGUUCCUCAAAAUGAUGGAGAAAAUGAGGAGUGAGUUCUAAUAGGUAUGGGCUUCCUUUGGGGGUGAUGAAAAUGUUCUUAAAUUGAUCAUGGUAAUGGUUGCACAACCCUGUGCAUAUACUAAAACCCAUUAAAUUUUGUACUUAAAUUGGGUGAAUUGUGGAAUAAUAUUGUUAAUAAUAUCUCAAUAAAUAUAAAUAUAUUUCAUUAAAAAUAAAAUAUAGGGGCAACGUUUCUUCCCUUGCAGGAACAUUAGCAAAAUUGAGUCCCCGGCUAUUUGUUUGAAUUUGUAUUAUUGUUGUAAAUCAUCCUAAAUAGUUCUUAACCAACCAUGGACUCAAAGUGUCAUAGCUACUUAUAUUUGUGAAAAAAUAUAUUCUUUAAAUGGAAGGGAACAUCCCUACACAUGAUAUCUAAGAGUGAAGGGACAUUCUUAAGUAUUGUUAUCAGGAAUUUCAGAACACAAAGUGAAAUUUUUUGCCAUGCAAAAAAUUGCUUUAACGUAUAUUUUUUUCAAAAUCAGAUAAAGCAUUGAACUUGAUGAUGAUGAUAUUACCGUAUGUUAACUACUUAUUAUGUACCCAGUCUGUGCAAAGCACUGCAUAAGCAUUAGUUUCUGUAAUCCUUCCAACAACCUUCAGACAUUUAUUUUGUUUCCCUUAUUUUUGAUGGAAUGAUUGAAGCUCAGUCAGAUGGGUUAGUUAACUUGUCCAGUAUCACACAGUUCAUAGGGGCAGUUUGAAAUUUGAAAGCCAGGAAUGGUUGAUUUCCAAAUACAUUUUACUGUUAAUCUCUAAUUAUGCUUUUCCUUUACUAGUACGUUUGUGUUUUUAGUUUUUCUGUUUUUAUAUUUUAAGCACAUAAUUAUGUAACUAAUUAUGUGCUUAAAAGUAUAAAAUUAAUGCAGGUCCUUUGUAGAAAUCUUGAAAAAAUAGAAGUGUGCCAUAGGUGACACUGGGAAUAACUGGAGUUUGAAAUGGGGAAAUAAAAUUGCUGAUAAAAUUAUAAUAUGUGUUUGUAUUUAGUACUAUUAAAGGAUGCUUAUGACAAUGAAAUGUACGUUAUAAAGCAAUUGAAUUGUAUUAGCUGUUUACAUACACAGUUGACCUUUCAACUGUAGGGUCAUGAGUUUGAAAAGUGGGUCCACUUUUACGUGGAUUUUUUUCAGUUAAGUUUACAUUGAAUGUGCUUGCCUCUCCUGCUUCCCCUUCCAACUCCUCCACCUGUUCCAUCUCUGCCACCACUGAGACAGCAAGACCAACUCCACCUCUUCCUCCUCUGUAGCUUACUUA
rnacentral:lncRNA from 1 species